ensembl:lncRNA
CCAGUUCAAAGCGCAGCAGCGAAGUGGAUUGUUCUGGAAGGAUCUGAGAAUGGCUCACUCAGCCAUUAAACUGGGUCCAGUGCAGGAGACAGGUAGGACAGCUUUGUGUUUCUGCUUUAUUCAGUCCUUGAAUGGGAUUCAUGCUCAACAAUGGGUCACGAGACUCCUGAGAUCAGAGUCUCUGAUAAGCACCAGGAGCAGAAGGAUGGAGAGAGCGAGAGUGUUUGCGCCUUGGCUUUUCUCCAUUAUCCCUGUCCAGCUCUUAACUGGGCCUUGCCUGUCAGGAAAUCAAUUAGGGUACGUGGAGGAAUGAAGAGAGCAAUAGAGGUACAGAAUGCACACACAUGAUGGAGAAAACUGCAAAGCUGCUAACUUAUUUAUCUUUUUUUUUCUUUUUUCUUUUUUUUUUUUUUUUUUUUGCAAACAUGUAAUGUACAAACCAGAAAAACUUUCACCUUUUGAAAUGCACACUUGAAUGCAUGAAAAUGAGGUUUUGUUUACAGGACGCAUUCUCCUUUGUUGUUUUAGAUCUUUGAAGAUUAAAUUUAUGAGCUCUAUAUUUUUAGACAAACUGUAGGCCCACACUAUUUCAAAAAGACUUGAUUUAUUUAAGAUAUUUAUCAUUGUAGUUUAUCACAUCCAGCUUUCUUUGCCCCUGAGGUUUCCACAUGAAGUUAUCAACCUUGGAAAGAAAGCGAUGGGACGUGAUAAGGUACUGUUAUCAGCCACAUCUGUUUAACCUGCAGGUUUUUUUCCGCCCUGUGACUUUGAAAAAGCAAGACAGCUAUCAGUGAAACCUAAUAGAGAACUCUGUCGCUCUGCCUCAUGCCUCAGGCUGCUUAUAUUUCUAGAUUUAAAGGGAUACUCCAACCAAUAAUUCAUUUACUCACCCUCAUGACAUUCCAAACCUGUAUGACUUUCUUUUGUCCAUGGAAGGCAAAGAAUGACGUUUAAUAGAAUGUCCAAGCUGCUCUUUUUCCGUGAGUAGUUUAGCACCCCAUGUACUCUUAUUUUUAGAAAUUAAAUUAAAUUUUUGCUAACUAUCCCUUUAAAAACAGGGCUUGUCAACUCAAUCAUCACCUGCUUAUUCUGCCAGUUUCAUCAAUUAAUCCGCCUCUCUUUCCAUGUUUCCUUCCUCAAGGUGACCGCAUGAUGCAAGUUGACGCAUGGCGCCUGUAAAACAGAUUGCAUUUAUGAUAAUGAGGCUAGUUGAGGGUAACAUCAAAGCAUAUUUUCAUUCCAUCACUUUCAAGGCUGACAUCUCCAAUCAAUGCGAAACUGAUUGUGAAUCAAUUUCCUAAUGAUGGGAAAUCAAUAUUUAAUCUGUGAAUGUAGGGUGAGAUCUUGGUCAAGGUGAAGGUUUUCCCACAAUCCUGUACUUCCGAGUGAACUGUUUUAUGUUUCACCUUCGAGUACAAAGCUGAAGCUUCUGGCAGAGUAUUAAGGAAUUCACACUAUCAUCUAUCUUUCUAAAAGAAACAAGCAAAUAAAUAAAUAAGAAUCACUGAGAAGGGAAACUCU